UUUGGGGCCGUUAGGCCUUUGUAGCGCAGCUAACGAAAUAAGUUGCCCGCGGAGUGAGUCCGCAAGCAAGAAUAAAACUCAAAGGAAUUGGGGGGGACCCGCGCAAGCGGUCGAUGAUUUGGAUUAAUUGGAACCAACGCGACAAACCUUACUUACCCCUUCCAGGUAAGGAAAGCCGAAGAGAUUUGGCCGUUCUGGCAAUAGAACCCGAACACAGCAGGGGCAUGGUCGUCUUCAGCUGGUGUAUUGAGAUGUAAGGUUAACUCCGGCAACGAGCGCAACCCUUGUCAUUAGUUGAUUCGCUAGAGCACUCAAAUGAGACUGCCGGUGACAAACCGGAGGAAGGUGGGGAUGACGUCAAGUCCUCAUGGCCCUUAUGGGUAGGGCUUCACACGUCAUACAAUGGUCUAUACAGAGGGAAGCCACCUCGCGAGGGCGAGCCAAUCU
rnacentral:rRNA from 1 species